rnacentral:lncRNA from 1 species
AAAAAUCAUUCAUAUGUUUUAAUACAAUAAGUUUGAUUACUUAAUUUCAAUUGAAGUUUACAGAUAUUGGUGUAUCGGGAAGAAAUCAAGAGAUAAACAUGAACUCUCAAAAGUAUUCGGAUGUUCAAUUCAGAACACACAGUAUUCGUGCGCCUUUUCAAAAUAUUGGUAUGAAAUAAGUAGGAAAGCAAAAUUCCAAGAUUGAUUUUAUCAUAGUCCAUUCUUUUGUAUCUAAAUUCAAAAAUGGGUUACUCACCG